UACGGAGGGUCCAAGCGUUGUCCGGAAUCACUGGGUGUAAAGGGUGCGUAGGCGGGCUAGUAAGUCAGGGGUGAAAGCCCGCGGCUCAACCGCGGAACUGCCCUUGAUACUGCAAGUCUUGAGUCCUGGAGGGGCUGGCGGAAUUCGUGGUGUAGCGGUGAAAUGCGUAGAUAUCGUGUGGAACGCCAAAGGCGAAAGCAGACGACUGGGAUUGCGCUGACGCUGAGACACGAAAGCCAGGGGAGCAAACGGG
rnacentral:rRNA from 1 species